rnacentral:rRNA from 1 species
UGGACGAACGCUGGCGGCGUGCUUAACACAUGCAAGUCGAACGGAAAGGCCCUGCUUUUGUGGGGUGCUCGAGUGGCGAACGGGUGAGUAACACGUGAGUAACCUGCCCUUGACUUUGGGAUAACUUCAGGAAACUGGGGCUAAUACCGGAUAGGAGCUCCUGCUGCAUGGUGGGGGUUGGAAAGUUUCGGCGGUUGGGGAUGGACUCGCGGCUUAUCAGCUUGUUGGUGGGGUAGUGGCUUACCAAGGCUUUGACGGGUAGCCGGCCUGAGAGGGUGACCGGCCACAUUGGGACUGAGAUACGGCCCAGACUCCUACGGGAGGCAGCAGUGGGGAAUAUUGCACAAUGGGCGGAAGCCUGAUGCAGCAACGCCGCGUGCGGGAUGACGGCCUUCGGGUUGUAAACCGCUUUCGCCUGUGACGAAGCGUGAGUGACGGUAAUGGGUAAAGAAGCACCGGCUAACUACGUGCCAGCAGCCGCGGUGAUACGUAGGGUGCGAGCGUUGUCCGGAUUUAUUGGGCGUAAAGGGCUCGUAGGUGGUUGAUCGCGUCGGAAGUGUAAUCUUGGGGCUUAACCCUGAGCGUGCUUUCGAUACGGGUUGACUUGAGGAAGGUAGGGGAGAAUGGAAUUCCUGGUGGAGCGGUGGAAUGCGCAGAUAUCAGGAGGAACACCAGUGGCGAAGGCGGUUCUUUUGGGCCUUUCCUGACGCUGAGGAGCGAAAGCGUGGGGAGCGAACAGGCUUAGAUACCCUGGUAGUCCACGCUGUAAACGGUGGGUACUAGGUGUGGGGUCCAUUCCACGGGUUCCGUGCCGUAGCUAACGCUUUAAGUACCCCGCCUGGGGAGUACGGCCGCAAGGCUAAAACUCAAAGGAAUUGACGGGGCCCCGCACAAGCGGCGGAGCAUGCGGAUUAAUUCGAUGCAACGCGUAGAACCUUACCUGGGUUUGACAUGGAUCGGGAGUGCUCAGAGAUGGGUGUGCCUCUUUUGGGGUCGGUUCACAGGUGGUGCAUGGCUGUCGUCAGCUCGUGUCGUGAGAUGUUGGGUUAAGUCCCGCAACGAGCGCAACCCUUGUUCACUGUUGCCAGCACGUUAUGGUGGGGACUCAGUGGAGACCGCCGGGGUCAACUCGGAGGAAGGUGGGGAUGACGUCAAGUCAUCAUGCCCCUUAUGUCCAGGGCUUCACGCAUGCUACAAUGGCUGGUACAGAGAGUGGCGAGCCUGUGAGGGUGAGCGAAUCUCGGAAAGCCGGUCUCAGUUCGGAUUGGGGUCUGCAACUCGACCUCAUGAAGUCGGAGUCGCUAGUAAUCGCAGAUCAGCAACGCUGCGGUGAAUACGUUCCCGGGGCUUGUACACACCGCCCGUCAAGUCAUGAAAGUUGGUAACACCCGAAGCCGGAGGCCUAACCGUUGUGGGGGAGCCGUCGAAGGUGG